rnacentral:rRNA from 1 species
UACGUAGGGGGCAAGCGUUGUCCGGAUUUAUUGGGCGUAAAGAGCGUGUAGGCGGCUUUGCAAGUCCGUUGUGAAAACUCGAGGCUCAACCUCGAGACGCCGGUGGAAACUGCAAAGCUAGAGUCCGGAAGAGGAGAGUGGAAUUCCUGGUGUAGCGGUGAAAUGCGCAGAUAUCAGGAGGAACACCGGUGGCGAAGGCGGGUCUCUGGGCCGUAACUGACGCUGAGGAGCGAAAGCGUGGGGAGCGAACAGG